rnacentral:rRNA from 1 species
AUUGAACGCUGGCGGCAUGCCUAACACAUGCAAGUCGAACGAGUGGCGGACGGGUGAGUAAUGUCUGGGAAACUGCCAGAUGGAGGGGGAUAACUACUGGAAACGGUAGCUAAUACCGCAUACCAUCAGAUCUGCCCAGAUGGGAUUAGCUUGUUGGUGGGGUAACGGCUCACCAAGGCCACGAUCCCUAGCUGGUCUGAGAGGAUGACCAGCCACACUGGAACUGAGACACGGUCCAGACUCCUACGGGAGGCAGCAGUGGGGAAUAUUGGACAAUGGGCGAAAGCCUGAUGCAGCCAUGCCGCGUGUAUGAUGAAGGCCUUCGGGUUGUAAAGUACUUUCAGCAGGGAGGCGUUACCCGCAGAAGAAGCACCGGCUAACUCCGUGCCAGCCGCCGCGGUAAUUC